UUUUUUUAAACAGUUCUCUUAAAGGGCUAAUUAUUAGAUAUAUUGAGAGUACUAUGCUCCGUCCUUGUGCAUGCGCACGGGGUACACCUAAACAAAAGGGAUGUAAUCAACACUAAAUACCGGGAAAAGAAAAAGAAAAGUGUCAAUGUCUUGUUGAUUCAAAACCCUGUAAACCAAAAGCAAGAACAAAAACACAUAUCGGUAGGCUUCCAAUAAAAUUUUG
rnacentral:misc_RNA from 1 species